rnacentral:rRNA from 1 species
UACGUAGGUGGCAAGCGUUAUCCGGAAUUAUUGGGCGUAAAGGGUGCGUAGGCGGUUAGGUAAGUUUAUGGUGAAAGCGUGGGGCUCAACCCCAUACAGCCAUAGAUACUGGCUAGCUAGAGUACAGGAGAGGGCAGUGGAAUUCCAUGUGUAGCGGUGAAAUGCGUAGAUAUAUGGAGGAACACCAGUGGCGAAGGCGGCUGCCUGGCCUGUAACUGACGCUGAUGCACGAAAGCGUGGGGAGCAAAUAGG